AAAAUCAUCUGCAAAUUGGCCUGAGUUUGCAUUAUCUACAAUUGAUGGAAGAUCAUUCACCAUUAUAUUGAAUAGAACAUGAGAUAAGCUUGAACCUUGAGGCAAUCUGCGUAUGGUACGGCAAAGAUUUGAGGUCAUCGGUAGUGAUGUCGAUGUGGAAUCUGGAUUCUGUUGCACUGGUGAUGAUUGUUACUAUCUCCUCUUCUGAAGGUCUCUUGAAGGCAUUUUGCGGACUGUGUGUACAUUUUCAACUAUUUUAGAUAUUUCCUGCCUUAUUUUAAGACUGUUUAUAUCCGACAG